rnacentral:rRNA from 1 species
GACGAACGCUGGCGGCGUGCCUAAUACAUGCAAGUAGAACGCUGAAGGAGGAGCUUGCUUCUCCGGAUGAGUUGCGAACGGGUGAGUAACGCGUAGGUACCUGCCUGGUAGCGGGGGAUAACUAUUGGAAACGAUAGCUAAUACCGCAUAAGAGUAGAUGUUGCAUGACAUUUGCUUAAAAGGUGCAAAUGCAUCACUACCAGAUGGACCUGCGUUGUAUUAGCUAGUUGGUGGGGUAACGGCUCACCAAGGCGACGAUACAUAGCCGACCUGAGAGGGUGAUCGGCCACACUGGGACUGAGACACGGCCCAGACUCCUACGGGAGGCAGCAGUAGGGAAUCUUCGGCAAUGGACGGAAGUCUGACCGAGCAACGCCGCGUGAGUGAAGAAGGUUUUCGGAUCGUAAAGCUCUGUUGUAAGAGAAGAAACGAGUGUGAGAGUGGAAAGUUCACACUGUGACGGUAUCUUACCAGAAAGGGACGGCUAACUACGUGC